rnacentral:sRNA from 1 species
GAAUAGCCUACAAUGUGAUUUUACCCCUGGUGGGGUUCCCGAGCGAAGCGAGAGAACGUUGCCGCAGGCAACGGCCCGAAGGGCGAGGCGCCUUAGCGGCGAGUAAUCCUUCCCCCACCACCA